rnacentral:snoRNA from 1 species
UUUCAAUGAAGAUAACUUUGUCCAGUUUGCUACUGAAUGCAAGUGGUGAUAAUAAAGACUCUGAGAAA